rnacentral:rRNA from 1 species
UACGUAGGUGGCAAGCGUUGUCCGGAAUUAUUGGGCGUAAAGAGUGCGUAGGCGGUUUUCUAAGUUUGGUGUGAAAUCUCCCGGCUCAACUGGGAGGGUGCGCCGAAGACUGGAAGGCUAGAGUAUGGGAGAGGUAAGCGGAAUUCCUGGUGUAGCGGUGAAAUGCGUAGAUAUCAGGAGGAACACCUGCGGUGUAGACGGCUUACUGGACCAUCACUGACGCUGAGGCACGAAAGCGUGGGUAGCAAACAGG